CUUUACUUGGUGGUUCCUAGGUGGUGCCAAUGGGGUUCUGGCUAAUUGCUAAUAUAAUGGUGGUGAUUAUGGUAAUAGGUUGGGAUCUGGGUCUUGGCUGAGACUUUACUUGUUGGUUCCUAGGUGGUGCCUGUGAUAUUCUGGCUGGUUGCUAGGAUACUGAUGUGGGCUUGGCAGUUGGUGGUUAUAUGAUGUUUUUGGCACUUGUUAGUACAUAACUAGGGGUUUAAUAUGUUGUUUUGAUUUGCGUUGAAGAAAUCAAUUAAUGCUUAAUGACUUAAUGGUUGUAAGCUGAUGGUUAAUAUUCGGUUAUACAGUUGCUAAGAUACUGUUUGGUGGUUGCUCUGAUAUGGCCAUCAUAUCCUACGUCACUAUCUGGUGUUGGUUCAAAUUAGGGCUACAGCUAUGAUUGUAGUCAUUUAAUUGAUUGAACAUUUUUUCAGUUAAUCUAACAAUUAUUUUUUUGAUUGAUGUGAUUGAUUUCUGAUUAGUUGAUUAAUUAUUUCAUUAACUUAUCAAUAAA